AAUAGAUACCCCGGUAGUCCACGCCGUAAACGAUGAGUGCUAAGUGUUGGGGGGUUUCCGCCCCUCAGUGCUGCAGCUAACGCAUUAAGCACUCCGCCUGGGGAGUACGGUCGCAAGACUGAAACUCAAAGGAAUUGACGGGGGCCCGCACAAGCGGUGGAGCAUGUGGUUUAAUUCGAAGCAACGCGAAGAACCUUACCAGGUCUUGACAUCCCAUUGACCACUGUAGAGAUACAGUUUUCCCUUCGGGGACAACGGUGACAGGUGGUGCAUGGUUGUCGUCAGCUCGUGUCGUGAGAUGUUGGGUUAAGUCCCGCAACGAGCGCAACCCUUGUUCUUAGUUGCCAUCAUUUAGUUGGGCACUCUAAGGAGACUGCCGGUGAUAAACCGGAGGAAGGUGGGGAUGACGUCAAAUCAUCAUGCCCCUUAUGACCUGGGCUGCAAACAUGCUACAAUGGCCGGUACAGAGGGCUGCGAAACCGCGAGGUCGAGCGAAUCCCAAAAAGCCGGUCUCAGUUCGGAUUGAAGU
rnacentral:rRNA from 1 species